GCCCCACCUUGGAGCCAGCCAACUAACAACUGAAAUGUGCAGAAACUGAAGUCCAAGGAAGUUGCCCAAGGGCACGUCUAUCAGAUGAACCCACAGCUAAUGCUUAAAGCAGGCUGCUUCCCUUCCAGUGCAACAGUGGCUUCCCAGAGGGGUAUAGGGACUGGUAGCAGUCACACAGCAAGUCACCACCUGCACACAGCUCCGCAUUCCUGGCUUUCAGGCUCCUGCUCUUGCUCUUGCAUUCCAUAAUCCAGAUAUCUGUGUCUUCCAGGUGCAACACGGGCAUGUUCUUCAUGGGAGAGGAAGACAAAAGAAAUUUCUCCUGCAGUAAAAUACUCAUGAGAUUCCUGAGAGAGAUUAAUAAAAAUCUUAUCAAAGAA